GACGAACGCUGGCGGCGUGCCUAAUACAUGCAAGUCGAGCGGACAGACGGGAGCUUGCUCCCUGAUGUUAGCGGCGGACGGGUGAGUAACACGUGGGUAACCUGCCUGUAAGACUGGGAUAACUCCGGAAAACCGGGGCUAAUACCGGGUGGUUGUCUGAACCGCAUGGUUCAGAAAUAAAAGGUGGCUUCGGCUUCCACUUACAGAUGGACCCGCGGCGGCUUAGCUAGGUGGUGAGGUAACGGCCUACCAAGGCAAAGAUGCGUAGCCGGCCUGAGAGGGGGGUCGGCCACACGGGGACCGGGACACGGCCCAGACUCCUACGGGGGGCAGCAGGAGGGAAUCUUCCGCAAGUGACGAAAGGCUGACGGGGCAACGCCGCGGGAGGGAGGAAGGGUUUCGGAUCGGAAAGCUCGGGUGUUAGGGAAGAACAAGUGCCGUUCGAAUAGGGCGGCACCUUGACGGUACCUAACCAGAAAGCCACGGCUAACUACGUG
rnacentral:rRNA from 1 species